UGAUUCUCUCUCAUCAUUUCAAGCCUUACAGGUAGAAGAGGAUCCGUAAUAGAAUUGGGAAAGAAAGAGGAGACAAGUUUUCUUUUCCAGCCCAUGGAAAAAUAACUUUCUGGAUUAUCAUCUGGAAACUGGGAAGUACCAACAUGAGCAACGAUGAGAGGCCAGUGAACCCUGCCUCACCUCCGCUGACUGAGUGCCUGAAGAGAAAGAGGGGAAGACCAAAGAAGCAGCCACAGGAGGCUGUGGGGCCACUGCCAGUGAAGAAACCACGAGGAAGGCCGAAAGGAAGCAAGAAAGCGAAUGCUGUAUCUCAAAUGUUAGAACCUUCUGCUGAGAAAAGGCCAAGAGGGAGGCCCCGCAAGUGGACGAGAUGGCUUCAGCCCUGCUUUGUAGCUGUUCAGCGUGCCUGACAUGGCUGGAGACCAAGACCUCCCGGGGGACAGGUCCCUGCAGUGGAAAAGGCAGUGGAGGGCAGCCAGGCGGAGUUGAGGACAUGCUAUCCAACAUCAUCUUGUGGAGCACAAAGAUCCAUGUGUGCUGUCAAAAUCUAAUAUCUUUAGUAAAGUUAUCUGGAAUAGUUUUUAUCCUGUUCCAUGUUCUUUUUUGUUGAUAGAAGAGCAAUUUCCAAAAAUUGC
rnacentral:lncRNA from 1 species